rnacentral:lncRNA from 1 species
UCCAAGGAAAAGGAAAAGGGUGUGAGGUCUUUGGGGCCAGCUUUGAGCUGGCAAGGCUAAAUUAUAGGAAGAAGGCAGCGACGUGGGCAGAGACCAGAUGUGGGAGGACUUCCUGCGUCAGGCCAAGGAGUCUGGACUCCACCCUGUACGCGACGGGAGCCAAGAAAGGGCGCAAACACAUGGCACAUUUGUGGUUAAGAAACAUCUUCCUUGCUUCCUUGUAGCCUUGAGGAAUGAAUUAAGGGGCUGGAAAAGUGGGACCAGGACGGCCUGUGCCCAUGGUUCAGGCAGUGGAGCCUCAUCCACAACCCUGGAAAAGAACUGGAAAGCCUUGCUCAGCCAGGCUGGAGUGCAAUGGCGCAAUCUCGGCUCACCGCAACCUCC